rnacentral:rRNA from 1 species
GACGAACGCUGGCGGCGUGCUUAACACAUGCAAGUCGAACGGAAAGGCCCUGCUUUUGUGGGGUGCUCGAGUGGCGAACGGGUGAGUAACACGUGAGUAACCUGCCCUUGACUUUGGGAUAACUUCAGGAGACUGGGGCUAAUACCGGAUAGGAUCUCCUGCUGCAUGGUGGGGGUUGGAAAGUCUCGGCGGUUGGGGCUGGACUCGCGGGUUAUCAGCUUGUUGGUGGGGUAGUGGCUUACCAAGGCUUUGGCGGGUAGCCGGCCCGGGAGGGUGACCGGCCACAAUGGGACUGAGAUACGGACCAGACUCCAACGGGAGGCAGAAGUGGGGAAUAUUGCACAGUGGGCGGAAGCCUGAUGCAGCGACGCCGCGUGCGGGAUGACGGCCUUCGGGUUGUAAACCGCUUUCGCCUGUGACGAAGCGUGAGUGACGGUAAUGGGUAAAGAAGCACCGGCUAACUACGUG